UUGUAUCUCUCGAGAAAACUCUCUCUCUCUCUCUCUAAGCUCACCACCUCCCAUUCCUAGUAGCCUUGUUGAGCCUCACAUCAAGACCACCUUUAGAUCACUAUCAUCACCAUCACCCCAGCUCAUCCCAUAUAUCCCUCGAGACCAAGAAUUUGAAUUAAACCCAAACCACACUCAAACCGGAGAAACAGAGGAAUGGAGAACUCCGAUGAAUUCUCAAAUAUUUCAGGCAAGGUAAGACUCAAGAACACCUGUGAUCUCUUCCUCUUUGACAUUUUGAUUCGAUUUUUGAGUUGUAAAAUUGUUUUGAUGACGAUCUAACGCGGAAAUCAACUCGGGGAUACUUCCUUUGAUUUUCCAACGACGGCCGUGAUUUUGCAGGCGAUUCUCAGCUCUCUCUAGCCACCUAUUUCACUUGGGUGCAUCAAUGGGAAGUGAAUCCAUCCUCACUAGUUCAAGCAACUCUCGGGCAACAAAAUAUAUUUUGAACACGCUAGCAGCAAACAUCACUUCAAACUGAGAAAUUGGCAAUCAACCAUAACCUUUCAAACAUUCAAAACCUCUCUGUACGUCGAAGAGAUAUUUCCCACUUGAAGACAUGGAAUUUGAAUUCAGGAUGGGCCACCAUGAAACUACCAUUUAAAUGUUCAAAACCUCUCUGUACGUCGAAAAGAUAUUUCCCACUUGAAGACAUGGGUUUUGAAUUCAAGAUGAAAGGACCAGAGACCUAAUUUCAAAGUCUACCAUUCAAAUGUUCAAAACCUCUCCAAACGCCGAAGAGAUAUUUCCCACUUGAAGACAUGGGUUUUGAUUUGGGCCACCAUGACAGGACCAGAGACCUCCUAAUUUCAAAGUCUACCAUUCAAAUGUUCAAAACCACUCUGUACGUCGAAGAGAUAUUUCCCACUUGAAGACAUGGGUUUUGAAACCUUUUCCUGUUGUUAAUUGAGAAAAAAAAAAAAAAAAAAACAUAACAUGGAAUUUGGGGAGUAUAGCUGAAAUAGAGUGACGUCUAAAGAUGGUUACAUAGAAAUGUUAACAAUAUCGAAGUGUUAUAUACAGAAAAUGCUAAACGUGGCCGGAAUUGACUCAUAGUAGACAUUC